rnacentral:rRNA from 1 species
GUGCCAGCCGCCGCGGUAAUACGGAGGGUGCAAGCGUUACUCGGAAUCACUGGGCGUAAAGCGCGCGCAGGCGGUCUUGAAAGUCAGAUGUGAAAGCCUAUGGCUCAACCAUAGAACUGCAUUUGAAACUUCAAGACUAGAGUGUGGGAGAGGAAGAUGGAAUUAGUUGUGUAGGGGUAAAAUCCGUAGAGAUAACUAGGAAUACCAAAAGCGAAGGCAAUCUUCUGGAACACUACUGACGCUGAGGCGCGAAGGCGUGGGGAGCAAACAGGAUUAGAUACCCUGGUAGUCCACGCAGUAAACGAUGAAUGUUAGUCGUUGGGGAGCUCGUCUCUUCAGUGAUGCAGCUAACGCAUUAAACAUUCCGCCUGGGGAGUACGGUCGCAAGAUUAAAACUCAAAGGAAUAGACGGGGACCCGCACAAGUGGUGGAGCAUGUGGUUUAAUUCGAAGAUACGCGAAGAACCUUACCUGGCCUUGACAUUGAUAGAAUCUGCUAGAGAUAGCGGAGUGCCUUCGGGAGCUUGAAAACAGGUGCUGCACGGCUGUCGUCAGCUCGUGUCGUGAGAUGUUGGGUUAAGUCCCGCAACGAGCGCAACCCUCGUGACUAGCUACUAACGGUUCGGCCGAGGACUCUAGUCAGACUGCCUCCGCAAGGAGGAGGAAGGUGAGGACGACGUCAAGUCAUCAUGGCCCUUACGGCCAGGGCAACACACGUGCUACAAUGGUUAGGACAGUGAGAUGCGAUACCGCGAGGUGGAGCAAAUCUAUAAACCUAAUCUCAGUUCGGAUAGCAGUCUGCAACUCGACUGCUUGAAGUCGGAAUCGCUAGUAAUCGCGAAUCAGAAUGUCGCGGUGAAUACGUUCCCGGGCCUUGUACACACCGCCCGUCACACCAUGGGAGUGGAUUGCACCAGAAGUAGUUAGUCUAACCUUCGGGAGGACGAUUACCACGGUGUGGUUCAUGACUGGGGUGAAGUCGUAACAAGGUAACC